AACGACUCUCGACAACGGAUAUCUCGGCUCUCGCAUCGAUGAAGAACGUAGCGAAAUGCGAUACUUGGUGUGAAUUGCAGAAUCCCGUGAACCAUCGAGUCUUUGAACGCAAGUUGCGCCCGAAGCCACUAGGUUGAGGGCACGCCUGCCUGGGUGUCACGC
rnacentral:rRNA from 1 species